UCGAAAUAAGGGAAUGAUCCUUCCAAAAGAUGAUGCAGCUAAAGCGAGCGGCUCGCAUGCUCUUGCACACAUCGAAUGUUUACUGACCGGCACAGAAAUGGUCGAGCCAACGACUUUUCUAUGCGACAACGUUGUGGCAACCUACAAGAGUUCUGGGCUAAUGGGGUACUAACUGGACACUUGAAGCCUGUGUAUAUAGAAGAGCCUGUGAAAUAGCAAUUUUUAAUUUCAAGUCACCCUUCACUUUAUUACAUAUACAUGUAGUGGGAAUAAUUUUUCUAAUGAAAGUUGAGCUUUUAUAAUGCA
rnacentral:lncRNA from 1 species